UUUAUUCUCCUCCUUGUUUUGACAAGCAAUCAAACAGCUUUCUCUACUUUUCUUCCGGUGAACCAAAAUUUGUUCUUACUGUCGCUAAGAAACAACAAAAAGGGGUAAAUUUGGUGCCCUAGCAAAUGGAAUUGAAGGGCUUUAGAUCCCAGGCCGUUACCGAAUCGGUGGCCAAGCACCUCUUCCUGCGUUGCUUCGCGCUGGCUUUGAUCCUCUCAACAAUUCCCUUCCUCCAGUACUUAUCUGGAUCUGAAUCUACACUCUUGGAUCCCAUUUGGGGCUCUCUCGAGUGCGAGGAAGGGGUCAAUUUGACCGCCACUGUCAUCAGGGAGCUAACAAGCAAGCAACU
rnacentral:lncRNA from 1 species